CCUACGGGUGGCAGCAGUGAGGAAUAUUGGUCAAUGGGCGUAAGCCUGAACCAGCCAAGUCGCGUGCGGGAUGAAGGUUCUAUGGAUCGUAAACCUCUUUUAUAAGGGAAUAAAGUGUGGGACGUGUCCUAUUUUGUAUGUACCUUAUGAAUAAGGAUCGGCUAACUCCGUGCCAGCAGCCGCGGUAAUACGGAGGAUCCGAGCGUUAUCCGGAUUUAUUGGGUUUAAAGGGUGCGUAGGCGGCCUUGUAAGUCAGCGGUGAAAGUCUGUGGCGCAACCAUAGACUUGCCGUUGAAACUGGGGGGCUUGAGUAUGUUUGAGGCAGGCGGGAUGCGUGGUGUAGCGGUGAAAUGCUUAGAUAGCACGCAGAGACCAGAUUGCGAA
rnacentral:rRNA from 1 species